UCACAAAGGUAGGUGCUCGCCCAAAUGCA
rnacentral:piRNA from 1 species